rnacentral:rRNA from 1 species
GACGAACGCUGGCGGCGUGCCUAAUACAUGCAAGUAGAACGCUGAAGAGAGGAGCUUGCUCUUCUUGGAUGAGUUGCGAACGGGUGAGUAACGCGUAGGUAACCUGCCUUGUAGCGGGGGAUAACUAUUGGAAACGAUAGCUAAUACCGCAUAACAAUGGAUGACACAUGUCAUUUAUUUGAAAGGGGCAAUUGCUCCACUACAAGAUGGACCUGCGUUGUAUUAGCUAGUAGGUGAGGUAACGGCUCACCUAGGCGACGAUACAUAGCCGACCUGAGAGGGUGAUCGGCCACACUGGGACUGAGACACGGCCCAGACUCCUACGGGAGGCAGCAGUAGGGAAUCUUCGGCAAUGGGGGCAACCCUGACCGAGCAACGCCGCGUGAGUGAAGAAGGUUUUCGGAUCGUAAAGCUCUGUUGUAAGCCAAGAACGAGUGUGAGAGUGGAAAGUUCACACUGUGACGGUAGCUUACUAGAAAGGGACGGCUAACUACGUGCCAGCAGCCGCGGUAAUACGUAGGUCCCGAGCGUUGUCCGGAUUUAUUGGGCGUAAAGCGAGCGCAGGCGGUUUGAUAAGUCUGAAGUUAAAGGCUGUGGCUCAACCAUAGUUCGCUUUGGAAACUGUCAAACUUGAGUGCAGAAGGGGAGAGUGGAAUUCCAUGUGUAGCGGUGAAAUGCGUAGAUAUAUGGAGGAACACCGGUGGCGAAAGCGGCUCUCUGGUCUGUAACUGACGCUGAGGCUCGAAAGCGUGGGGAGCGAACAGGAUUAGAUACCCUGGUAGUCCACGCCGUAAACGAUGAGUGCUAGGUGUUGGAUCCUUUCCGGGAUUCAGUGCUGCAGCUAACGCAUUAAGCACUCCGCCUGGGGAGUACGACCGCAAGGUUGAAACUCAAAGGAAUUGACGGGGGCCCGCACAAGCGGUGGAGCAUGUGGUUUAAUUCGAAGCAACGCGAAGAACCUUACCAGGUCUUGACAUCCCGAUGCUAUUUCUAGAGAUAGAAAGUUACUUCGGUACAUCGGUGACAGGUGGUGCAUGGUUGUCGUCAGCUCGUGUCGUGAGAUGUUGGGUUAAGUCCCGCAACGAGCGCAACCCCUAUUGUUAGUUGCCAUCAUUCAGUUGGGCACUCUAGCGAGACUGCCGGUAAUAAACCGGAGGAAGGUGGGGAUGACGUCAAAUCAUCAUGCCCCUUAUGACCUGGGCUACACACGUGCUACAAUGGUUGGUACAACGAGUUGCGAGUCGGUGACGGCAAGCUAAUCUCUUAAAGCCAAUCUCAGUUCGGAUUGUAGGCUGCAACUCGCCUACAUGAAGUCGGAAUCGCUAGUAAUCGCGGAUCAGCACGCCGCGGUGAAUACGUUCCCGGGCCU